AAAAUCUUUUUAUAACUGUUUCGUUGCUUCUGUUUAUUACAAAGAGAAGCUUAUUUCUGGUAUUCUUCACCUUAUAAAUGACGAAAGAAACGGAGCGACUAUUGAAAAAUGGUUGGUAAAAAAGUUAAUCUCUAUGCUUGCUUUACUGAAAGUUUAUGAGGAAUUUUUUCAAAAACCUUUUUUGAAAGCCACAAAAGUCUAUUACUACAACGAAGGGCAUUCCCUU